UACAGAGGGUGCAAGCGUUAAUCGGAAUUACUGGGCGUAAAGCGUGCGCAGACGGUUGCGUAAGUCAGAUGUGAAAGCCCCGGGCUCAACCUGGGAAUUGCAUUUGAGACUGCGUAGCUAGGGUGCGGAAGAGGGAAGCGGAAUUUCCGGUGUAGCGGUGAAAUGCGUAGAUAUCGGAAGGAACACCAGUGGCGAAAGCGGUUGCCUGGAGCUUUGCUGACGCUGAUGCGCGAAAGCGUGGGGAGCAAAC
rnacentral:rRNA from 1 species